CCUGCGGACCGAAAUAUAAUUUCAAUAAAAUGUGGAAAUAACAUUUACUUUUUUUACUCUACUGAGGUUUGGCCCAUCACCACCACUGAAUUUUAAAUAAUUACUAUUAAUUAAAAGUAAAUAGUUACUAGAACAAAAUCCUAAAGUUGAACCGGAUCGGUUAGAACAAUAUAUCCCGAUAUUUAUCAAUGCUAUUGUCGACAGUUCCCGGCUUAUCAUGGCUCACAGCUGGCUCAUCCAAAAUCCUAAAGUUGAACUGGAUAGGUUAGAACAAUAUAUCCCGAUAUUUAUCAAUGCUAUUGUCGACAGUUCCCGGCUUAUCAUGGCUCACAGCUGGCUCAUCCAAAAUCAAAUUAAUUCAAUCAUCAUAACUCUCGUUAUUUCUAUGAGUCUUUACUUUUACUUUCCAAAAUUGAUAUUCCUAGGUUUUAUAUGUAUCAGAGAAUAAAUAACCUAAGAAAACCCAAAAUUAUAAAAAAUUUAAAUUACAAAAAAUAAAUAAAACAAACAAACCUUUUCAGUAAAAUUAAAAUGUGAAAUAUGCCAGUGCUAUUACCAUGGAACACCCUGAAACGAUAUUAUUCAUCAAAUUAACGAUUUUUUCCCCAAUGGGUAAAUAAUCGUUUAAACAGAUUCUAUACACUAGUAAAUAGAUUAGUUUUGAUUGUUUAAAGAAAUUCGAAAAAGUAAAAAUUUAAUCAUAAAUAUCUACCUCAAUCCAUAGAAAUUGAUUAGAACCGUUUUACACCAACCCAAAAGAAAAUUUAUUGCGCUUACUUGGCUGACCUUAUUAAAUGGACUGUAUAAGUAGCUUUAAGUAACCGUCUAGCUGUACAUAGCAGCAUCUUCGUUUUUCAACGUCAUCUUUUAAACCAUUGUUUGGUUUAGGAUAAAUAUAUUUUUUUUUCUAGCUAAAAUCUUAUAUUUAAACUGUGUGGUUCUUUUAAAAAAUGACUUGCGGUUUUAAGCACAGAGACAAUGAAAUAAAUUGUCAGAAAACUCGUUUUAACUACGAUAGAAAAACGGCCAUUUUCUUCCUCGAUCAAUUGUACUCAGCUAGAGUUUUGAAUGGUAGUGGUGUGAAUCUUUAAAUAUGGAAGGUCACUUGAAAUAACAUUUAAUCCCCAUAUAUAUAUUAAGAAAAAACAAUUCCUCGACAUAAACGGAAAAAUGUGA